rnacentral:rRNA from 1 species
AGCAGCCGCCGCGGGAAUACGUAUGUCACAAGCGUUAUCCGGAUUUAUUGGGCGUAAAGCGCGUCUAGGUGGUUAUGUAAGUCUGAUGUGAAAAUGCAGGGCUCAACUCUGUAUUGCGUUGGAAACUGCAUGACUAGAGUACUGGAGAGGUAAGCGGAACUACAAGUGUAGAGGUGAAAUUCGUAGAUAUUUGUAGGAAUGCCGAUGGGGAAGCCAGCUUACUGGACAGAUACUGACGCUAAAGCGCGAAAGCGUGGGUAGCAAACAGGAUUAGAUACCCCGGUAGUCCCUGUCUCUUAUACA